GGGCCAGUGCAGGGGGUGGCGCAGAGGCAAAAGGGCCGAGGGCAGUGCUGGAGAUGUGACGGUUGAUGGGCUGGGGGUGGACGGCCGGGGGGCUGGGGGUGAAGUGGUUGGGGGUUAGAGGGUUGUGGCAUGCGAGGAAAAGAGGAAGGAGAAAAAAAUAAAAAAUAUUUUUAAAAAAUUAUAUUUUAAAAAUUAAUAAUUUAUUAAUAAAAAUAAUAAAAAUAAUAAUAAAUAUUAAAAAAUAAUAUUGAA
rnacentral:lncRNA from 1 species